UCAAGGCAGCAGGGGCAUAUCUC
rnacentral:misc_RNA from 1 species